UACGUAGGGACCGAGCGUUGUCCGGAAUCAUUGGGCGUAAAGAGCGUGUAGGCGGCUAUUUAAGUCCUGCGUGAAAUCCUGCGGCUCAACCGCAGACGGUCGUGGGAAACUGGAUGGCUAGAGUGCGGGAGAGGAGAGUGGAAUUCCUGGUGUAGCGGUGAAAUGCGCAGAUAUCAGGAGGAACACCAGCGGCGAAGGCGGCGCUCUGGGCCGGAACUGACGCUGAGGAGCGAAAGCGUGGGUAGCAAACAGG
rnacentral:rRNA from 1 species